UGAACGCUGGCGGCGUGCCUACUACAUGCAAGUCGAGCGAACAGACGAGGAGCUUGCUCCUCUGACGUUAGCGGCGGACGGGUGAGUAACACGUGGAUAACCUACCUAUAAGACUGGGAUAACUUCGGGAAACCGGAGCUAAUACCGGAUAAUAUAUUGAACCGCAUGGUUCAAUAGUGAAAGACGGUUUUGUUGUCACUUAUAGAUGGAUCCGCGCCGCAUUAGCUAGUUGGUAAGGUAACGGCUUACCAAGGGAACGAUGCGUAGGCGACCGGAGAGGGUGAUCGCCCACACUGGAACUGCGCCGCGGUCCAGACUCCUACGGGAGGCAGCAGUAGGGAAUCUUCCGCAAUAGGCGAAAACUUGACAGAACAACGCCGCGUGAGUGAUGAAGGUCUUCGGAUCGUAAACCCCUGUUAUUAGGGAAGAACAAAUGUGUAAGUAACUAUGCACGUCUUGACGGUACCUAAUCAGAAAGCCACGGCUAACUACGUG
rnacentral:rRNA from 1 species